UCGCCGCCAGGGCGGCCGGGGUGCUGCGGCGGCUCGGGCUCGCCGACGACGCCGGUCCGUCGCGCCCGGUCCGGUUCACCGAGCCGGUGGUGGUCGA
rnacentral:tRNA from 1 species